CCAACCCGCAGAAGCUUCGAAAACGGCCCAAAAACCACGACAGAGGCAGCAAAGCCGUAUCGACUCUGGGAACGAUUCCAGAGCCAACCUCCUGUUUCGUGAAAAACUGGCGCGAAUACGGCUCUCCGGCGACCAUUUUCGCCGGAAUCUCAUAUUUCUAGAUUUGCUUCGGCUGCCGAGCAAUUCGGUAACAACAAAAUUGAUUAGAAAUGAAUUUCUAUGCUCAUGACCUGUCUCCGUUGGAUUUUAAUUUUGGCCACUCCGAAUCGUACGGCCAGUCAUUCUCUCGCCUUCGCGCUUCGUCCGCUAUUUCUUCAAAUGUCUUCCUCGAUGAAGACGACGACGUUUACCGUCCUAGCUGGACUGCAAGAAAUAAGGAAGAAAUGCCCACCGGCUGCCCCCCCAAUCGCCGGCAUGACGGUUCGUCGCCUCUUCCAUUGGGAAUGGACUGGAGCCCCCCUCCUCAGAAAUGGGUUGGACAGGGCACGCUGUGGCCUCAUGAUCCACCUACUGGAUGGAGUUAUUGUGUCACGAUUCCUUCUUGGACGACAAUUCCCAAAUCAAAUGGUUCAGUUCCUGUGGUGUUUUACACGGUUCAAGUUGGACUGCAAUCCCCACAAGGUAUCACCUCUACAAGAGGAAUAUCAAGAAGAUUUAAUGUGUUUCUAGAGCUAUUUUACGAGCUCAAAAGAACAUUGCCCGAGAAACAUUUGCCUCCAGCUCCUUCAAAAAUGGUUUUGAGAAUGAAAAACAGUACAUUUCACGAUGAACGGAGGUCUUCCUUGGAGGAAUGGAUGGAAAAGAUUCUGUCAGACAUUGACGUUUCGAGAAGUGUUCCAGUGGCAAGUUUUCUUGAACUGGAAGCUGCUGUGAGAUCUUUUUUCAGUGAUGUUGAUCACCAGACAUCUGAUGAGGUUUCUUCUAAUAGUAUCAUGGUCCAACCAAUUACGCUAACAAGCUCAACUGUGCCUAUUGCUGCUGCUUCUUCUGUUGCCUCCAGUCCACGUGAUGAUAUUUGUUAUGGGGGACCUGAACUUGGAACUCUAAGACAUGGAGAUGAUGAGGAUGCAGAAUUGGGAAUGGAUAAACUUGCAUCGGAAAAAGCUGGAACAGACCUGGAAAAUCCGGUUGUAAGAUCGAACGAAGACGUUUCCAUGAGACGAUUGCUUGCAUCAAAGGAUGAACAGGUGCCCAUGGAAUCGACAAUAAUGUCAAUUUUAGAGGAGAACAAAUUUUUACUGCAAGAGUUGGAUGCUUCAAGAGAACAGCUCGAGUACUUGCAAAAACAAUAUGAAGAGUUUGUGACGAAAUCAAAGGCAGAUGUUGAGUUGUUUAUCAAAGAAAUUAAAUCUCUUCGAGAUACACAGUUAGACAUGAAGCAGGAGUGCAGCCAAUUGACGAAGGAGAAAUCAGAAUUAGAGAGGGUAUUUCAAACUGAAAGACAGAGAAUGGAGCAAGCCAAGAUUGCUAAUCAAAAGCUUCUUCAUGAUUGUGAAAUUCUUCAAUACCGUCUUCAAGACUCUAGUGUUGACUUCUUCAUUGAGGAAGGAGAUAAAGUAAUCUUGGAAACUGCUUCGACUGCUCAUGAUGCUAUGGAUCUAUUGGCGACAUCUGAUAAUCACAUUAGCCUUAUUUUAGCAGAGGCGAAGCUUCGUGCACACGAUGCAGAUGGCACGGCUGGAUCAGCCAGUCCAAAUGGGGCACGUGAAGGAGCACCUGACAAAGUAUUAAGAAACAUACUGGCAGAUAUGUUCGUCGAAAAUGCGCGAUUACGGACACAGGUGAACUCUGUCAUUCGCUGUGCUCUAAAUGCAAAUCCGACCCAUGAGAAAGAUGAAAAUGAAUCUCUCUUGGGAGUGUAAGAAAUUGUUGUAUGUAUGGGCCUUCUUCUGUAGUGACAAGAACAGGGGAGCUUGCUCUUGAUCAGUCUCUUCAUGGCAAAGGGGGAAGUUCAUGAACAGAAACAGAAUGAAGUAAAUGCUCAAAUGGACGAUGGGAUUCUUUUGGGAGUUUUAAAAUCUGAGUUUGAAAAGAAAAAAGUAGACUGUUGUUUGAAGGUUGAGUAUAAAUGAAGUGAUGUAUUUUAUUUAGAUCAAGUAUGUGUUAUAGUUCGGGUUCGAUCCA